GAUCAUGGCUCAGAUUGAACGCUGGCGGCAUGCUUUACACAUGCAAGUCGAACGGUAACAGGGAGCUUGCUCCGCUGACGAGUGGCGAACGGGUGAGUAAUGCAUCGGAACGUGCCCAGUCGUGGGGGAUAACGCAGCGAAAGCUGUGCUAAUACCGCAUACGAUCUAUGGAUGAAAGCGGGGGACCGUAAGGCCUCGCGCGAUUGGAGCGGCCGAUGUCAGAUUAGCUAGUUGGUGGGGUAAAGGCCCACCAAGGCGACGAUCUGUAGCUGGUCUGAGAGGACGACCAGCCACACUGGAACUGAGACACGGUCCAGACUCCUACGGGAGGCAGCAGUGGGGAAUUUUCCGCAAUGGGCGAAAGCCUGACGGAGCAAUACCGCGUGAGGGAAGAAUGCCUAUGGGUUGUAAACCUCUUUUUUCAGGGAGGAAUAAAAUGACGUGUACCUGAAGAAUAAGCAUCGGCUAACUCCGUG
rnacentral:rRNA from 1 species